GUGCUUGCUCUGGCAGCACAUACACUAAAAUUGGAGUGAUACAGAGAAGGUUAGCAUGGCCUCUGCGCAAGGAUAACACACAAAUUCAUGAAGCAUUCCAUAUUUUU
ensembl:snRNA U6 U6 spliceosomal RNA